rnacentral:tRNA from 1 species
GGGGCUGUGGCUCAGUGGUAGAGCGCUCUCCUUGUAUGUGCGAGACCCUGGGUUCAAUCCUCAGCACCACA